rnacentral:misc_RNA from 1 species
UAUAUUUGGAGAUCUCGCCAACCAUCUUUAAUACGGAACAGUAAUACGAAAAUAAGACGACAAUUUAUCAAGACCUUCGGAUAGUCAAUGGACACAUAGCCCGCCAUAUGGGGAUCCAAAACAACUUGUCAGCCAUAGCCAAAACAAACAAAACACAAGAAAAUCUCUAACAAGUGUCAACAACUGGCCAAAGGGAGAGAAAGAAUAAAUGAGAGAAAGCUUUAAUGAGCGCUUGAGAGAGUGCUUUUGGGAGACUAAAAUCGAGCUUUGGCUGCCAUAGGGCCAACUUAAAGGCAUGCUCAGGAAUUGUUUCAGUCGACGUUUAGAUUCCUGGCCAGAAACCAACCGAGCGCUAAAAAGUCGCGACACGCGUUAAAAAGAAAACUGAAAAAUCGCCAGCAGCCACAAACAAGCUACAAUAGUUUUUCCUCAGUCUAGGAAAACUAGUGAAAAGGAUCGGGACACUAUGAACUUCAGCGGCGGUUGGCAAUGAUAGUAUGACGCGUGACGGCGAAAUUCCAGCCAUCUUCAAUCCGAAACGCGUGCGCACUCCCUCCGUGGUGGUCACCGGCGACUCCUCGUCGAAUGGACCGUACAAUAACAAUAAUAGCGGCGGCGUGGGAGGCGGUGCCAGCAGCAGCGGCAUUGGCGCGGUCUCCAGCUGUGGCUUCAGUAAUGUGCUCAACUCCAGCAACCCGCAAAUAACCCACCAAGAUUCAAUAUCAUCGAGCCAACAAGAUCCGAAUGAGGUCAUUACCAUACAGGCGGACACACCCACUAACCCGCACGGGUCACAGCAUAAUUUUGGAGGCGACUCCAACGACACACAGACUGGACAACUGGCAAUAGAUCAGCAGGCCAAUGGGCAGCCGGGCGAGGAUGCGGAGGUGCGUUUUCGCAAGCUCAAGGCCUGCAGAGAAUCCUGCUGCUCCGAACUGGCCAAGAAGAUGUACUUUGGGGUGUGCGUCACGAUUCUAGUGACUGCUUCGUGGGUGGGCGCCACGCACUGCAUCAAGUACAUGUAUUUGUAUCGCGCUCCAUAUGACGAUGAACUGGACGACGAUCUAGAUACCUCAUCGAGUCGCACUGAACUCAGCACCGAACUGGAGGAUAUACUGGCCAUAAGCGACUCAUCGCUGCACCAUGUCGAGGACGCCACCGAGAUGUUCAACAUACCACCGCGCCAGCCCGUCUACUUUAAUGCGCCGUUCUUUGCGGCCUGGUUCUUUACCAAUUUCUCCCUGCUCUUCUUCCCCAUCUAUAUACUAGGGCUCAUCUCGGCUCGCAAGUGCGACAAACUGAGCGAGAUACUCGCCGAUGUGAUACGAGGAUUUCGCGAGCGAGGCUUCACCAUUGGCCGUUUCCUCAAUCGCUGUCUAUCCUUUUGCAUCCUGUGGCUGGUGACCACCUACCUGUACACCCUGUCGCUGCACGUCCUCUUUGCCACGGAUGCACUGGCGCUGUUUGCAACAAACGUUGCCUGUGUCUAUUUACUCUCUUGGGUCAUACUGCAUGAGCAGUUCGUUGGCGUUAGGAUUGUGGCUGUUAUCCUGUGCGACACGGGCAUUGCGCUGCUCGCCUACAUGGACGGCAUUACGGAGAGUCGAACGUUAGGCGGGGUCGUGUUGGCCACGUUAGCUGCAGCCGGCUAUGCCGUGUUUAGGGUUAUGUUCCGCAAGGUGAUGGGCGAUCCGCCGGUGGCACAAAUCGCAUUUACAUUCACCGCACUGGGGUUGCUCAAUGCUUUGCUGCUGUGGCCCGUCGUGCUGGCACUGUACCUGACAGGCGCCGAGAAUCUGACAUCAGAAAGCAUACCAUGGAACAUGCUGCUUGUAGCAAGCGUCCUGCUCCUGGUUUUCCACGUACUCAUGCAGUUCAGUGCCGCCGUUACCUACAACAUGUUUGUGACAUUGGGUUUGAUAACCGCUGUGCCCGUUUCUGGUGCACUCGACGUCAUACUGUACAGUGCCACAUUUGCGGGCAUGAAACUAGCCGGAGUUAUCCUUAUAGCCAUUGGCUUUUUCCUCGUCAUGUUCCCCGAAAACUGGCCCGACUACAUAACGCGUCUCCUGCGAAGCAUCAUAAUGCUGGGUCACAACGCGAGCGGUAGGCCAGCGCUUUGUAAACGAGAUGCUGCAGUCACAGGACCGUCCACGAGAUAUGCGCAACGGCACAUCACGCGUUCCUUCUCGCACCAUAUAAGCUAAAAGUUGGAAAAAAAAGACCACAGACAGAUAUUCUGUAUAGAAACAAGAAAAACACGCAUAUAUAUUUUGUAAAUGAUUUUCCACAAAAAAAUAAGAAAAAGAAAAAAUUCAUGAAGUUCAGAAAGAUCACUGGAUUUUGGGAUCGCAGCAUAUUUAUGCGUCCCAUUAUAAACAUAAACGAAAAUAUUAUGCUGUCAACACGAACUCAUAUGUUGUUUG